AUUUAUAUAGUUUAUUUAAAACAUUAUAUUUUCAUUAUAAAAAAAGAAAUUAUUCUUAUAAAUA
rnacentral:tRNA from 1 species